GCCGAGCUUAGUAACGUGUGUUUUUAACCUGAGUGGGGGCUUCGAGAAUGGUUCGGCUGAGUAGAUAGGGCCUAAUUGCUGGCUUGCCCAUUCAAGUAGCGAGUCGAGUCCCGACGCCUACGAAGGCUUGGGUGGCGUGGCUCCUAGAGUGGCGGAGUUCGCGUGAGGCUGGCUUCACAAAGCAGCGUCCACCUCCUGCUGAUGAAUCUCCCCGUUGGGCUAAAAGCAUUCUUGUUUUAGUUAAUGACCG
rnacentral:SRP_RNA from 11 species